AGAGUUCGAUCCUGGCUCAGGAUGAACGCUGGCGGCGCGCCUAACACAUGCAAGUCGAACGGCACCCCUCUCCGGAGGGAAGCGAGUGGCGAACGGCUGAGUAACACGUGGAGAACCUGCCCCCUCCCCCGGGAUAGCCGCCCGAAAGGACGGGUAAUACCGGAUACCCCGGGGUGCCGCAUGGCACCCCGGCUAAAGCCCCGACGGGAGGGGAUGGCUCCGCGGCCCAUCAGGUAGACGGCGGGGUGACGGCCCACCGUGCCGACAACGGGUAGCCGGGUUGAGAGACCGACCGGCCAGAUUGGGACUGAGACACGGCCCAGACUCCUACGGGAGGCAGCAGUGGGGAAUCUUGCGCAAUGGGGGGAACCCUGACGCAGCGACGCCGCGUGCGGGACGGAGGCCUUCGGGUCGUAAACCGCUUUCAGCAGGGAAGAGUCAAGACUGUACCUGCAGAAGAAGCCCCGGCUAACUACGUGCCAGCAGCCGCGGUAAUACGUAGGGGGCGAGCGUUAUCCGGAUUCAUUGGGCGUAAAGCGCGCGUAGGCGGCCCGGCAGGCCGGGGGUCGAAGCGGGGGGCUCAACCCCCCGAAGCCCCCGGAACCUCCGCGGCUUGGGUCCGGUAGGGGAGGGUGGAACACCCGGUGUAGCGGUGGAAUGCGCAGAUAUCGGGUGGAACACCGGUGGCGAAGGCGGCCCUCUGGGCCGAGACCGACGCUGAGGCGCGAAAGCUGGGGGAGCGAACAGGAUUAGAUACCCUGGUAGUCCCAGCCGUAAACGAUGGACGCUAGGUGUGGGGGGACGAUCCCCCCGUGCCGCAGCCAACGCAUUAAGCGUCCCGCCUGGGGAGUACGGCCGCAAGGCUAAAAC
rnacentral:rRNA from 1 species